rnacentral:snRNA from 1 species
UGGUGCUUUCGUUGAGAG